UUUCCGUAGGUGAACCUGCGGAAGGAUCAUUAUUGUAUAACCGAGGUGCGAGGGCUGUCGCUGACCCGAAAGGUCGUGCACGCCCGAGUGCCCUCACACACAUCCAUCUCACCCCUAUGUGCACCACCGCGUGGGUCCCCCUUUGGCUUGUUCGGAGGGGGGCUUACGUUUUCACACAAACUCUGUACGCAGUGUAGAAUGUAUUUUUUGUUUUUGCGAUCACGCAAUCAAUACAACUUUCAACAACGGAUCUCUUGGCUCUC
rnacentral:misc_RNA from 1 species